GCUGGAAUAUCCUGGGGUUUCUCCUUCCUAAUUCUUUAGUGUCCUCGGAUCCUGCCCUGUGACCAGUGCUCGGAACUUCCCUUCAGAGUAGAAUCCCCUUUUUUUUUUGACUUUUACAAGCGGGGAAAAGACCCGCGCCCACUAGUUGUAAACACUGGGAGACCAAAAUAUUGUAUAUGUAGUACGGCUUAUUUUUCUGUAAAACCCUCGUUCCGCGGACUCCUAAUUGUAUUAAGAGCUUUUAUAUUUUGGUUUUUUGUAUUUUGACUACAUUGUGGUGCGGUUGUAGUGCCGGAAGGCCUAAUCCUGCAAUGAAUCCUGCUAUUCACUGAGCACCUAGUACGUACUAAGUACUGUUCUGGGCGCCGGGAAAACAACUGCCGUUGCAAUCUGAAGGAGCAGGAAAGCCUUAAUAAUAAUUACGUCUAGCUUUUUUUUUUUUUAAGUCGUUUUACAAAUUUCUCAACUUUCUUUGUGGGUGUAGUACAUUUCGGUUUACUGGAGUCUUGUUAAAUCUUUUGUUUACACCUACCAUAGCUAUUAUAAUACAAGUCUGUUUUCCCAUUUCUUAACUUUUCAUAGGAUUAUCAUUCUCAGAAGGCAGGAAAUAUUUAUCUACUAACUACGCACAGCACCGCCUUUAGGAAAUGCUUUCUCAGCUGUAUACGCUGCAGACAGUGCGUGCCCACCUCCUGCCACCCGCCCGACCCGUAUUUCUUUUUGACAGAGCUCAAAAUCUAGCUUUCUUUGGGGUGAAAUGUAACAUUUAAUAUAAAUUCUAGAUAAAGGAAACAACCCACUGAUUUGAAAACUGUCAGUAGACGACUGAGUUUACGACCACAUGAUAAAAAGGCAUCACUGAUGAAAAGAGCCCAAAUAUUCAGCAUACCAAAGGAGAUGAUGCCUCCCUUAGGAAAAAUUGUGAAGCCCCCAGAGUCUGCAACAACCAUGUCACCAGCUUAGGAGCUGUGGGAGCCAUCUUGUGUUCAGGAAUCAACAAGGAUAAGGGCUGGCAGAGCAGAGGGCAGGAGCCUGAGAUCUGAUGACUUUGCUGAAUGAAGGCCAGCUACCGAGUUGCAGAUAGGAGACCUGUCUUUGAAUUGGAAGCUGAAGUGGGGACACUCCAUUCCGGGCAGAAGAAAUGCUUAUUCUUCUCCACUAAGGAAAAAAACAAGUUACAUAGCAUAAAUGUUUUCUGAAAGCAAUGGAGAUAGAAUGAUCCACCAGAGUUGAAUCAACAGAGGCAAGAGUGGUUUGGAAAAAAACCAAAGUAACAAAAUGUGAUUUAAAAAUACAUUUUACAGGGCUUCCCUGAUGGCGCAGUGGUUGAGAGUCCGCCUGCUGAUGCAGGGGACACGGGUUCGUGCCCUGGUCCGGGAGGAUCCCGCAUACCGCGGAGCUGCUGGGCC